rfam:Lupinus angustifolius cultivar Tanjil contig_25416, whole genome shotgun sequence.
AUUUGAUGAUGAGGGCAGCUUGCACAUAACCUCUUGAAUCUCUCCCAAUAUUCAUAUAAACCUUCUACAUAUAGAUGUCUGAUUCUAGAAAUAUCUUUUUUUAUUGC